UACGAAGGGGGCGAGCGUUAUUCGGAAUCACUGGGCGUAAAGCGUGCGUAGGCGGUUGUAAAAGUUAGGAGUGAAAGCCCCAGGCUCAACUUGGGAAUUGCUCUUAAUACUGUAUAACUUGAAUUUGGGAGAGGAUAGCGGAAUUGUCAGUGUAGCAGUGAAAUGCGUAGAUAUUGACAGGAACACCGGUGGCGUAAGCGGCUAUCUGGACCAACAUUGACGCUGAGGCACGAAAGCGUGGGGAUCAAACAGG
rnacentral:rRNA from 1 species